CGUAGGACCCAAGCGUUAUCCGGAGUGACUGGGCGUAAAGAGUUGCGUAGGUGGAUAGUAAAGUGAAUAGUGAAAUCUGGAGGCUCAACCUUACAGGCUAUUAUUCAAACUCACUAUCUCGAGAGUAGCAGAGGUAACUGGAAUUUCUGAAGUAGGGGUAAUAUCCGUAGAUAUCAGAAGGAACACCAAUGGCGUAGGCAGGUUACUGGGCUAUUUCUGACACUGAGGCACGAAAGCGUGGGGAGCGAACCGGAUU
rnacentral:rRNA from 1 species